rnacentral:rRNA from 1 species
CUUAACGCUGGCGGCAUGGAUUAGGCAUGCAAGUCGAACGUCAUUCCUGCCCUCGGGCGGGAUGAAAGUGGCGCAAGGGUGAGUAACACGUGAGUAACCUGCCCCCGAGCCCGGGAUAGGCCGUGGAAACACGGAUUAAUACCGGAUGAGGAAGGGAACUGCAUAGUUCCCGCGCUAAAGUUUUUCGCUUCGAGAUGGGCUCGCGUCCCAUCAGCUUGUUGGUGAGGUAACGGCUCACCAAGGCUAUGACGGGUAGGUGGUCUGAGAGGAUGGUCACCCACACUGGGACUGAGACACUGCCCAGACUCCUACGGGAGGCUGCAGUCGAGAAUCUUCCGCAAUGCGCGAAAGCGUGACGGAGCAAUGCCGCGUGCAGGAUGAAGGCCCUUGGGUCGUAAACUGCUGUCACUCGGGACGAAGAAUGUGACAGUGCCCCCAGAGGAAGCCACGGCUAACUACGUGCCAGCAGCCGCGGUAAUACGUAGGUGGCGAGCGUUAUUCGGAUUUACUGGGCGUAAAGGGUCCGUAGGGCGAUUUUUAAGUUUGAUGUGAAAGCCUAGGGCUCAACUGCGGAACUGCAUUGGAAACUGGCGGACUGGAGUGUGCGAGGGGUGAGCGGAAUUCCUGGUGUAGCGGUGGAAUGCGUAGAUAUCAGGAAGAACACCGAUGGCGAAGGCGGCUCACUGGCGCAUCACUGACCCUGAGGGACGAAAGCGUGGGUAGCAAACAGGAUUAGAUACCCUGGUAGUCCACGCUGUAAACGUUGUGCACUAGAUGUGGGGGGUAUUGACCCCAUCUGUGUCUAAGCUAACGCGAUAAGUGUACCGCCUGGGGAGUACGACGGCAACGUUAAAACUCAAAGGAAUUGACGGGGGCCCGCACAAGCGGUGGAGCAUGAGGCUUAAUUCGAGGCAACGCGAAGAACCUUACCUGGGUUUGACAUAUAUAUGACCGCUCCCGAAACGGAGUUUCUCUUCGGAGCAUAUAUACAGGUGCUGCAUGGCUGUCGUCAGCUCGUGCCGUGAGGUGUUCGGUUAAGUCCGGCAACGAGCGCAACCCGUGUCGUCAGUUGCCAUCACGUAAUGGUGGGGACUCUGGCGAGACUGCCCGUGUCAAGCGGGAGGAAGGCGCGGAUGACGUCAAGUCCGUAUGGCUCUUACAUCCAGGGCUGCACACGUGCUACAAUGGCCGGUACAAUGGGACGCGAAACCGCGAGGUGGAGCAAAUCCUCAAAACCGGUCUCAGUUCGGAUUGGAGUCUGCAACUCGACUCCAUGAAGCUGGAAUCGCUAGUAAAGGCGUAUCAGCAACGGCGCCUUGAAUACGUUCCCGGGCCUUGUACACACCGCCCGUCACAUCACGGGAGCUGGAUGCACCCGAAGU